rnacentral:rRNA from 1 species
CCUACGAGUGGCUGCAGUGGGGGAUAUUGGACAAUGGGGGAAACCCUGAUCCAGCGACGCCGCGUGAGUGAAGAAGUAUUUCGGUAUGUAAAGCUCUGUCAGCAGGGAAGAAAGACAUGACGGUACCUGACCAAGAAGCCCCGGCUACCUACGUGCCAGCAGCCGCGGUAAUACGGCGGGGGCAAGCGUUAUCCGGAAUUACUGGGUGUAAGGGGAGCGUGGACGGUGAUGCAAGUCUGUCGUGAAAGGCGGGGGCCCAACCCCCGGACUGCUCUGGAGAUUGUGUAACUUGAGUGCAGAAGAGGUAAGCGGAAUUCAUGGUGUAGCGGUGAAAUGCGUAGAGAUUA